GUAGGGGGCAAGCGUUGUCCGGAAUGACUGGGCGUAAAGGGUACGUAGGCGGUUAUGUAAGUCAGGUGUGAAAGGCUAGGGCUCAACCCUAGUAAGCACUUGAAACUGCGUAACUUGAGUCGAGGAGAGGAAAGUGGAAUUCCUAGUGUAGCGGUGAAAUGCGUAGAUAUCAGGAGGAAUACCAGUGGCGAAGGCGACUUUCUGGCCUUGGACUGACGCUGAGGUACGAAAGCGUGGGGAGCAAACAGGAUUAGAUACCCUGGUAGUCCACGCCGUAAACGAUGAGUGCUAGGUGUCGGGGAGUAAUCUUCGGUGCCGAAGUUAACACAUUAAGCACUCCGCCUGGGGAGUACGGUCGCAAGACUGAAACUCAAAGGAAUUGACGGGGACCCGCACAAGCAGCGGAGCAUGUGGUUUAAUUCGAUGCAACGCGAAGAACCUUACCAGGGCUUGACAUCCCUCUGACAGUCCUAGAGAUAGGGUCUUCCCUUCGGGGACAGAGGUGACAGGUGGUGCAUGGUUGUCGUCAGCUCGUGUCGUGAGAUGUUGGGUUAAGUCCCGCAACGAGCGCAACCCUUGCCUUUAGUUGCUAACAGUUAGGCUGAGCACUCUAGAGGGACUGCCGGCAAUAAGUCGGAGGAAGGUGGGGAUGACGUCAAAUCAUCAUGCCCUUUAUGUCCUGGGCUACACACGUGCUACAAUGGUCGGUACAAAGGGCAGCGAGCGAGCGAUCGUGAGCGAAUCCCAUAAAGCCGAUCCCAGUUCGGAUUGCAGGCUGCAACUCGCCUGCAUGAAGUCGGAGUUGCUAGUAAUCGUGGAUCAGAAUGCCACGGUGAAUGCGUUCCCGGGUCUUGUACACACCGCCCGUCACACCAUGGGAGUCAACAAUGCCCGAAGCCAGUGAGCUAACCGUUAGGGC
rnacentral:rRNA from 1 species